rnacentral:rRNA from 1 species
CCUACGGGAGGCAGCAGUGGGGAAUAUUGGACAAUGGGGGGAACCCUGAUCCAGCCAUGCCGCGUGUGUGAAGAAGGCCCUCGGGUUGUAAAGCACUUUCAGCGAGGAAGAACGCCUAGCGGUUAAUACCCGCUAGGAAAGACAUCACUCGCAGAAGAAGCACCGGCUAACUCCGUGCCAGCAGCCGCGGUAAUACGGAGGGUGCAAGCGUUAAUCGGAAUUACUGGGCGUAAAGCGCGCGUAGGUGGCUUGAUAAGCCGGUUGUGAAAGCCCCGGGCUCAACCUGGGAACGGCAUCCGGAACUGUCAAGCUAGAGUGCAGGAGAGGAAGGUAGAAUUCCCGGUGUAGCGGUGAAAUGCGUAGAGAUCGGGAGGAAUGCCAGUGGCGAAGGCGGCCUUCUGGACUGACACUGACACUGAGGUGCGAAAGCGUGGGUAGCAAACAGGAUUAGAUACCCUGGUAGUCCACGCCGUAAACGAUGUCGACCAGCCGUUGGGUGCCUAGCGCACUUUGUGGCGAAGUUAACGCGAUAAGUCGACCGCCUGGGGAGUACGGCCGCAAGGUUAAAACUCAAAUGAAUUGACGGA